GGCAGUUCAUCUGAGUCACCACAGAGUGCCCGCCUCUUUCUGAAAUAUUUCUAACAUAUUCUGUAUAACCCAGUACAGGAGCUUCCAAGAGCAGCCGUUGAAGAUGAUCUACACAGCAUGAGAGAUCAAGAUGUAGAACUCCCAGCUCCUUCUCCAGCACCAGUCUGCCUGCACGCCGCCAUGCUUCCCACCAUGAUGAUGGACUAAGCCUCUGAAACUCCAACUUGGAGGCAUUUUUUUGAAGUUUGAUGAGAUAGCGGGGCGACUUGCUUUGGUCACUGAACUGUGCACAAAGGAGAUAACAUCAUUAUGAACUGACAAGAAUUCUUCACCCCGAUUCAUCAGGAAGGGAAUAUACAUUAAGAGGACCAUUGUUGGGCUGAAGAGAUGGCUCAGCGGUUAAGAGCACCGACUGCUCUUCCAGAGGUCCUGAGUUCAAAUCCCAGCAACCACAUGGUGGCUCACAACCAUCUGUAAUGGGAUCUGGUGUGUCUGAAGACAGCUACAGUGUACUUGUAUACAUAAAUUAAAUAAAUAAAUCUUAAAAAAAAGAAAGAAAACCAUUGUUCCAACCCCUUAAGUUGGGGAGGAUGGUUUUGUUUGCUUGAUGUAUUAUAGUUGUUAACAUUUAGGGUGGUAGGUGGCUUUGCUUAAUUAUUGUAUGUUGAUAGAAAUUUAAGGUUGUUUUUUUUAAUUAUCAUAUAUUGAUAGAAAUUAAGGGUUUGUGUAAUUAUUAUAUAUUAACAGAUUUUUAAGGUUUUUUCUUUAAUUAUUGUAUAUUGGUAGAAAUUUAAGAUUUUGUUUAAUUAUCGCAUAGUGGUAGAAAUUUAAGGGGUUCUUUUGGUCAAUUAUUGUACAUGGAUAGAAAUUUAAGGUUGUUAGACUAUUGUUUGACUACAUCAUGCAUAGCCAUUUGUUUAAAAUGUGAUGGUUCUUAUAAUUAUUUCUACUGUGUAUAGAUUGCUAAUGUUAGAGAAGAGGAAAAUUCUUAAAUAGAAAGGGGAGUAUGAAGUGGAAGCAUAGUUUUUUGGAAAGUCAGUUGUGUCUAAUGGUAUUUCGCUGGGGCAGACAUGUAAAGGAUUGUUCUUCUGAAGCAGACACAGGUGAGAAGAUGUUUCACUGAGGUGGACAGAGGUGAAAGGAUGCUUUGCUAAAGCAAGCAUGUGAACGGACUCGUGAUGAAGGAUUCUUCCCUAACGAUACACACGCAUUGGUUUGCCUUCUGUUGCAUUGCUAAGCUCCAUUUGUCAGGACUCCUUAGAGAGAAAUGCACCAAAAACAACUUCUGGUGGUGUGCUGGCAGCUUUUCGCCACGUCUGAGGUUGAUUGGCAGAAGGAUGUCAGCUGGUACAGACUCUGUGGUGAGGCAGGACCCGUAGGACAACAUGUGAUGUUUGAGGGCAUAUAAAUAGAACUCAAUGGACAGUGAUGGUGCUUGCAAUGAUUCGUUGGUCUCGCCUCUUCACCUUCCAAGUGAACGUAGCUUCACUGAGAAAGGCCAGGCAGAGAACUCCGGACAUCUCUGCUGUCCUGGUUACUUCCGCUGCUGCGUGCGGACUCUGCCGAGGGCUGGCUGUUCGUGCGUGCUAUCCCAAUGCUACUGAACUGGAUGCUGGCAUCUUCAUGAAGUGUUUGAGAGUGGAUCGAGCUGCCACUGCUGGCCUGUGAACUGAACUGCUGAUUUCCUGACAAUGCAAAUUGGAUUUAGAACAAUUUCUAAACAGGUCCACUUCCCCCGUGUCCUAAUAACCUUUUUUUUCCACUACCUCUGGUGGGUGGUGGGCUAGAAGGGAGGUUAAUGCAUUUAAGAACCAUUAUUAAAAGUGGGGUUUGGGGUUGGGGAUUUAGCUCAGUGGUAGAGCGCUUGCCUAGGAAGCACAAAGCCCUGGGUUCGGUCCUCAGCUCAAAAAAAAAAAAAAAAAAAAAAGUGGGGUUGGAAAAAAUUUAAAUCCACAUAUUGGUGUCAUCAUUUUAUCACAUUGAAAUAAUCUUACUUCCCUUAAAUCUAUUUAACCCCACACACACAUUUAUUUCAAAUAUCUCCUUUCUGUGUAUAGAAGGCACAAGUGCUCACAGCUAAGUCCUGGAGAAACCAGGAGUGCUAACCACACAGGCUUGCCUCCUCAGUGGAGGAAGUGAAUACCUGUGUUCUGCCCAGAAGGCUGGGAGUGGAUGUUGUUAAUUACCUGGUGACCUUGGCUAUCUGUAGGGCCAGUCCUCACCCAAAUCCUCCAGAAUCUCAGUCUCUCCCUCCUUAGACCUUUAUCUUUAGCUUUGUUUCUCAAGCAGUAGAACCCGUCCUUAGGGGAAAUGUCACAAGUGCUGUACAGCCUGCUGACCGCUGUGCUAUCUUGAUCAGAGACCAUUCCAGAUCCUAGGCCUUUAAGAUAUAGAACCAUUUUUAUGGUACAAAUCUCAUGUGCUUUGUAGAUGUAGUCACACUUUAAGCUUUAUUGUGCACAUGGGAUUGGGAUAAUUGUCACCAGGAAUAUGUCAGACUCCAGAAGUUUGAACCAGCUGGGGCAGUGAUGGCACACACCCUUAAUCCCAGCACUCAGAAGGCAGAGGCAGAUGGUCUCUGUGAGUCUGAGGCCAGCCUGGUCUACAGAGUGAGUUCCAGGACAGAUAAAACUACACAAACAAAGAAGAAGAAGGAGGAGGAGGAGGAGGAGGAGGAGGAGGAGGAAGAGGAAGAGGAAGAGGAAGAGGAAGAGGAGAAGAAGAAGAAGAAGAAGAAGAAGAAGAAGAAGAAGAAGAAGAAGAAGAAGAAGAAGAAGAAGAAGAAGAAGAAGAAGAAGAAGAAGAAGAAGAAAGAGGAAGGAGUUUGAACCAGGGUUUGCUUGCCCAACUAAGUCAUGCUGAACUGGUUUCCUUGCAGGUGACAGAUAUUCUCCACCGAAGAAAUGAGCCAGUUCAAGCCGAAUUAAAGUAUAAAGGAAGGAUUAUUGGGGGCAGCUCUCAGGCAGGUUCAUGGACCUCACAGGAGAGGGAUCAAUGAAGUCACCAUGCAGACAGGAAGACAGAAAAGUGAGGGCGAGGGAGCGGAGAGGGGGGCAUAAAAAUGCCUGGAUUAUAUAGUGGAGAUCCUCUAGGUGAGAGAAAGUCUGGACUCUGGGCUAGAAAGUUCAGCACAGAGAGCAAGGGAUGCUGGGAGAAUCUGGAGGCUAAGUCAGCUUUGUUAGGUUAAAUGGGCACCUCAGCCUCCUGCCCUGGGUCUGAAUUCCAACAGCAGGGAGCCCCACAUUAUGCAUUUAGGAUCAAGUCAGACAGUAGUGCAAGCUUUUCUGUAACUAUCAGAUGUAAUUUAGAAAACUCCAGAGAAGACAGAUCUAAUCAUAGUAGCUCCCCUACAAUCCCAGCUCUUUAAGAAGCCGAGGAAAGAGUAUCAGGGAGGGUUCAAAGUCAGAACGGCUACAUAGUGAGCUCAAAGAUAGCCUGGGCUACAAAGAAAAAUUUUGUUUCAAAACACAAAACAAAACAAACAUAUUUGUAUUUUCCCUUAUUUAUUGUCUAUCCAUUUUCCUACAAAUGACAUAAUUUCAUUCUUCUCUAUUCUUUGCCAGAUAAUUAUAGAAUUGAUAUAAUUUUGCUGGUGGCAUCUAUAAAUUAGUGUGUGUGUGAGUGGGUCUGUAUGUGUGUGUGAGAGAGAGACUAUCUGUGUGUCCCCGUUAUAUGUAUAUGAGUGUGUGUAAAAUUUGCUGUGCUCUUAAAAGAAACGUAAGUUGGUUAUAUUCCUGUUAAAAGUUUGUUUGGGUUCUAAUUGUCUUUUACUUUGAAACUGUAUGUCUGCUGCUGGCCUGUGCACAAACUAGUUGUGGCUGGCUAGAUACAAUCACUUGGCCUGUAAUACAACUUAAAUCAUUUUGGCUGGCAAUAUUCAGGUGUGCUUAGCUAUGACAUAGUCAUUUGGAUUGUAAUAUUUUACUGCAUAGACAUGGGAAAGGAGAAUCACUGAUGACAAGGAAGUAAGGGGGACUUAAAAUGAACUUUCAUAAGUACUGGUUGAGAUUCUUGGAUAAUGAUUAAGGGAAAUCUGAAACUGUUUGAAUGUUCUGAAAUUCUGUGUAAUAAAGAUGGCUUGAGCUACUCCGGUCCGCUUGCUCGAA